UCAUUGAACAACUCUACCGAACGGGGAACAUCAGGUGGAAGCUUCUAGCUUUUCAUCGGGAUGUUAAGAAAGUCGAUGAGUUUGGAGGAUUUUCGUUUGUUCCGCCUACGAUCCAAUAAGUGUCCAUGGAAUUCUGCCACUUCUCUUGUUUUGAAUUCCAGAUAACGUUUUACUUUUUGUAGAGUCGUGAAGGCUCAACGCUCAGAUCACAUACUACACACCACAGAUAUCAAACAAAAGAAGGGCCCAGUCGUUGGUUAACAAUCUUGCAAAGAUUAUGCAAAGUGAAGCGGGGUGCGUUGUGGUGCACAUGGACAUUCGUAAAGUCUUUGACGAAAGAUGUUGCUACACCUAUUGAAUUUCUCCAGUAUUCUCACUGUCCAUAAUACGUACAAGCAAAUAUGCAACCAGACAGUACCAGGGCAAAUAAACUAACUUCUGCCAAAGAAUAAAAGAACAUCCUUCUGCUGAUAAUGUACCAAGUCAUCAUUUCAAGUGAAGUAAAGUAUCUCAGACAACUUAGCGAUCUUUUCGUAUCCCAAAGGUAUGCGCCAUGGAGCCUGGUUCACAACCUUCUGACUUUUAGGUAAGAAUUAUAACACAAUCAAGCUGAUAUUCUGCAGAAGAUUUCUCUUCAAUUACAGAAAUGCUAUUUAAAAUUCUCAUGUUUGGAGUUUUUGGGGAAAGAGCAGUGUGUGAUAAUGGUUGCCUUGACUGGAGCUUUUCUUGCAAUAUUUUGAGUAAAUUCAUGAAGCCAUAAAGCCAUCCUCUUGGUCUGAAAAAGGCUCAGUCUACCUCAGAUUAGGGUAAUGUUUCUCAAAGGUUUGCGCUACAGGUGAAGCUAGCUCUUUCAAAUUGCUACUAUAAAGUUGCAAUAUGAGUGGUCAGCUCCAAGUCAGAAUAAUUUGGGUUCAAAUUCCACGCUAGACCCUUGAGCAAGAUAUUGUCAUCAAGUCAAAAAGAUGUUUUGCCUGUCACACAAAUAAGCAACAUGGUACACAAAUUUCAAUACCAAUAUAUGUAAGCUGUACAUUACGGAGACUGGUGGAUUGUACUAAAUAGCAUACAUCUUCGGCUGCUCGUAACAAACAAACCAUAAUCUUGCAUUUGCAGAUAUGUUCUAUUUUGUUCAAAAAGCAUACAAUGUGUAGGCAGUUAAAGUGACAUUUUAUAAAUUCCUAC